GGCGUGCCUUAACACAUGCAAGUCGAACGGGACCUUUUAUUUCGGUAAAAGUCUAGUGGCAAACNGGUGAGUAACGCGUAGGCAACCUACCUUCAAGAUGGGGACAACAUCCCGAAAGGGGUGCUAAUACCGAAUGUUGUAAGAGUACUGCAUGGUACUUUUACCAAAGGCGGCUUUUAGCUGUUACUUGGAGAUGGGCCUGCGUCUGAUUAGCUAGUUGGUGACGGUAAUGGCGCACCAAGGCAACGAUCAGUAGCCGGUCUGAGAGGAUGGACGGCCACAUUGGGANUGAGACACGGCCCAGACUCCUACGGGAGGCAGCAGUGGGGAAUCUUCCGCAAUGGGCGAAAGCCUGACGGAGCAACGCCGCGUGAACGAGGAAGGUCUUCGGAUCGUAAAGUUCUGUUGCAGGGGACGAAUGGCAUUAGUGCUAAUACCACUAAUGAAUGACGGUACCCUGUUAGAAAGCCACGGCUAACUACGUGCCAGCAGCCGCGGUAAAU
rnacentral:rRNA from 1 species